GUAGUGCAAACAGUCAACACGUUUGGCUGCUAACCAAAAGGUUGGAGGUUUGAGUCCACCC
rnacentral:tRNA from 1 species